AUCAAUUCAUCUACGCCGGCGCCGUCGUUUCUGACACACACAGACACACCCAGCCGCACAAAGCAGUAAUCUCUCCGCGGCAGUUGCUCACCUCUGACGUUCAAUCCGAUAAUUGGAAAAAAAGGAAAUGGAGAACACCGAUUCAUCAUCGGAAGGGAAAAAUUUCAGAGUCCGGAAGCUGGAACUUUCAGACAAAAGCAAAGGUUUUAUAGAGCUGUUACGACAAUUGACUGUUUGCGAUUCAGUUUCCGACAAAGAAUUCGAAGAUAGAUUUAAGGAAAUAAGUAUGUACGGUGAUGAUCAUGUUAUAUGUGUAAUCGAAGAUGAAACUUCAGGUAAGAUCAUAGCUUCAGGGAGUGUUUUUAUCGAGAAGAAGUUCAUAAGGAAGUGUGGUAAAGUUGGGCACAUUGAAGACGUGGUGGUUGAUGCCGGUGCGCGAGGGUUGCAAUUAGGGAAGAAAAUCGUGGGUUUUCUUGCGGAUCAUGCUCGUUCCAUGGGAUGUUAUAAGGUUAUUUUGGAUUGCAGCAACGAGAACAAGGUGUUCUAUGAGAAAUGUGGCUUUAAGCAGAAGGAGAUUCAGAUGGUUAAGUAUUUUGUUUGAAUAUAUUAUUUUGCUUUUGCCUUUUCUUUAUGUGCAUUGCUUGUUUUGAUGUUGAGAAUUCAAAAUGACAAUAGUAUUUGCCUUCACUCUUUUAGGUAAGCACUUGAUUUCUAUAUGCA